AAUGGGGAAACCCAGUGUGAUUCGUCACACUAUCAUUAACUGAAUCCAUAGGUUAAUGAGGCGAACCGGGGGAACUGAAACAUCUAAGUACCCCGAGGAAAAGAAAUCAACCGAGAUUCCCCCAGUAGCGGCGAGCGAACGGGGAGGAGCCCAGAGCCUGAAUCAGCAUGUGUGUUAGUGGAAGCGUCUGGAAAGGUGCGCGAUACAGGGUGACAGCCCCGUACACAAAAGCGCAUGUGCUGUGAGCUCGAUGAGUAGGGCGGGACACGUGGUAUCCUGUCUGAAUAUGGGGGGACCAUCCUCCAAGGCUAAAUACUCCUGACUGACCGAUAGUGAACCAGUACCGUGAGGGAAAGGCGAAAAGAACCCCGGCGAGGGGAGUGAAAAAGAACCUGAAACCGUGUACGUACAAGCAGUGGGAGCACAGGUUUACCUGUGUGACUGCGUACCUUUUGUA
rnacentral:rRNA from 2 species